rnacentral:rRNA from 1 species
UACGAAGGGGGCUAGCGUUGUUCGGAAUUACUGGGCGUAAAGCGCACGUAGGCGGACUAUUAAGUCAGGGGUGAAAUCCCGGGGCUCAACCCCGGAACUGCCUUUGAUACUGGUAGUCUCGAGUCCGGAAGAGGUGAGUGGAAUUCCGAGUGUAGAGGUGAAAAUUCGUAGAUAUUCGGAGGAACACCAGUGGCGAAGGCGGCUCACUGGUCCGGUACUGACGCUGAGGUGCGAAAGCGUGGGGGAGCAAACAGG